CCCUUAGAUGUUCUGGGCCGCACGCGUGCUACACUGAGUAAAUCAAUGGGUAAGGGAACACGAAAGUGCAACCUAAUCUUGAAAUUUGCUCGUGAUGGGGAUCGACGGUUGCAAUUUUCCGUCGUGAACGAGGAAUACCUUGUAGGCGCGUGUCAUCAUCACGCGCCGAAUACGUCCCUGCCCUUUGUACACACCGCCCGUCGCUCCUACCGAUUGAAUGCUCAGGUGAGCCAUUCGGACUUUCAUCAUGCUGGUUUCCAGUUUUGAUGAAGGAAAGUCUUGCGAACCGUAUCAUUUAGAGGAAGGAGAAGUCGUAACA
rnacentral:rRNA from 1 species